rnacentral:rRNA from 1 species
GAUGAACGCUGGCGGCGUGCCUAAUACAUGCAAGUCGAGCGAACGGACGAGAAGCUUGCUUCCCUGAUGUUAGCGGCGGACGGGUGAGUAACACGUGGAUAACCUACCUAUAAGACUGGGAUAACUUCGGGAAACCGGAGCUAAUACCGGAUGAUAUUUUGAACCGCAUGGUUCAAAAGUGAAAGACGGUCUUGCUGUCACUUAUAGAUGGAUCCGCGCUGCAUUAGCUAGUUGGUAAGGUAACGGCUUACCAAGGCAACGAUGCAUAGCCGACCUGAGAGGGUGAUCGGCCACACUGGAACUGAGACACGGUCCAGACUCCUACGGGAGGCAGCAGUAGGGAAUCUUCCGCAAUUGGCGAAAGCCUGACGGAGCAACGCCGCGUGAGUGAUGAAGGUCUUCGGAUCGUAAAACUCUGUUAUUAGGGAAGAACAUAUGUGUAAGUAACUGUGCACAUCUUGACGGUACCUAAUCAGAAAGCCACGGCUAACUACGUG